rnacentral:rRNA from 1 species
UACGGAGGGAGCUAGCGUUGUUCGGAAUUACUGGGCGUAAAGCGCGCGUAGGCGGCUUUGUAAGUUAGAGGUGAAAGCCCGGGGCUCAACCCCGGAAUUGCCUUUAAGACUGCAUCGCUUGAAUCCGGGAGAGGUGAGUGGAAUUCCGAGUGUAGAGGUGAAAUUCGUAGAUAUUCGGAAGAACACCAGUGGCGAAGGCGGCUCACUGGACCGGCAUUGACGCUGAGGGUGCGAAA